UCGCACACACGUAAAGCCCCAGUGGCACCGCGAGGUCUUCGUCCUAAGCGCCGCUGGCGCCUCCUCCAUAGUCGUCACCGCUCCGAGAAGCCACGGAAAGCGCCGGGCGAGGCCGUCGGCGCAGCAGCAGGCCGAGACGAAACCCCUGUGCGGGUGGGAGCCUCCGGCCUCGGGAGCAGAGGAGGACGCGACGGGAUCGGCCAAGUGGUAGGGUCCGUCCAUCUCGGAGGCGAGAAGCCGAGAAGGCUCCCGUGAGGCAACGGAGGAGAGAUCGAGAGACCUUGCCCUCGACGACCACCGUCCACCAACACCCCCUGCGCUACCUCCCCAACAUGCAGUCGCAGGACGAUCGAGGUCGAGUGAUUCUAUGCACAUGACAGGUAUCUUCCGCAAGCUAUGAGUUUCCAAAGGAUUGGUAGGACAGACAUGCACCCAGCGACGGGAGACUGCGACCGGAUCCUGUGGACCGUGGACAAUACGAAGGAAUGGAGCCCAAGGGAUUUGCGCAGAGGACCGAAGGCAAGGGAAAUGUUGCAAUCAAAUUUUGUUUUGAUUAAUUACUUCGUUUCUUUUAUGGACGUCAGAACCUCAAAUGUUUCUUUUAUGGAAGAACCUGUCUGUUGCAGAGGCAAUGGCGAACGGAAACUGGAUGAAAGGGAUGCACAGAAUGGCUUCGGUUGUUGAGAUUGAUCAGUUUCUUGCUCUGUGGGAGAGAUUGCAGAGAGUUAUCUUGACCGAUGUACCUGAUUCCAUUGGAUGGACUCUCUCGACAGAUGGAAAUUAUUCAGCUUCGUCGGCGUACUCUGCACAGUUCAUUCAGAAUAUUCGGCUGCCCCUUUUCAGAGUGUUUGGAGAAUAAAGGCUGAAGGAAAAAUCUGUUUCUUCAUGUGGCUGCUGCUGCAUAACAGAUUAUGGACUGUAGAUGGAUUGGCCAAGAGAGGGUGGCCUCAUAAUGCUCUUUGCGUUUUGUGUGAUCAGGUUCAGGAAAGCUCAUCCUAUAUCAUUCUUGAUUGCCCGUUUGCAAAGGAACUUUGGCAUUCUCUCCUGAGCAGAUGGCCAUGGCUGGCGGACUGCGCUACUAAUAGAUCCUCUGUCAAAAUUUGGUGGAGAAAGAUCAUCACGACGAAGUGUCCAGACAAGGAGGAGUUGGUGUCUUUGGUGGCCUAUGGAACAUGACACAUUUGGAACGAAAGGAAUAGAAGAGUUUUCAAGCAAAAGAAGAUUAGUCCGUUGAUGUUGAUUCGUUUGAUUAACGAUGACUAUGGCCUUAUCAAGAGGCGAAAGAGUUGUAAUUUUGUUUUUUGACAGCCGGGCUUUGUCGGCUGUCUUUCUUUCUUUCGGUAUCAGGGCUUUUGCCUGUGUAUGUUGUUUUUCCAAACUUCUGCUGAUUGAAAAGGCAGA